rnacentral:rRNA from 1 species
UACGUAGGGUGCAAGCGUUAAUCGGAAUUACUGGGCGUAAAGCGUGCGCAGGCGGUUAUGUAAGACAGAUGUGAAAUGCCCGGGCUUAACCUGGGAACUGCAUUUGUGACUGCAUGGCUAGAGUUUGGCAGAGGGGGGGUAGAAUUCCACGUGUAGCGGUGGAAUGCGUAGAGAUCCGGAAGAACGACCGGUGGCGAAGGCGGCCUGCUGGGCAGUUGCUGACACUGAGGCGCGGACAGCGUGGGGAGCAAACAGG